AUCGCUGGCGGCGUCCAUAAGACAUGCAAGUGGGACGCUGGCUGUCGGGUANCAAUAUUCGACAGUUGGAGUCGCGUAAGGGUGCGUAACACGUGGGUAAUUUGCCGCGAAGACUGGAAUAACUUGCUGAAAGGCGAGCUAAUACCAGAUGUAACUGCUGGAUGGCAUCAUCCAGCAUUAAAAGUCGGGGACCGCAAGGCCUGACGCUUCACGAUGAGCCCGCGGCCUAUCAGCUAGUUGGUGAGGUAAAGGCUCACCAAGGCUAAGACGGGUAGCUGGUCUGAGAGGACGACCAGCCACACUGGAACUGAGACACGGUCCAGACACCUACGGGUGGCAGCAGUCGAGAAUUUUUCACAAUGGGGGAAACCCUGAUGGAGCGACGCCGCGUGGGGGAUGAAUGGCUUCGGCCCGUAAACCCCUGUCAUUCGCGAUCAAAGCGCAUUAUUUAAAAGAUGAUGUGUUGAUAGUAGCGGAAGAAGAAGGGACGGCUAACUCU
rnacentral:rRNA from 1 species